GAUGAACGCUGGCGGCGUGCCUAAUACAUGCCAGUCGAGCGAACAGACGAGGAGCUUGCUCCUCUGACGUUAGCGGCGGACGGGUGAGUAACACGUGGAUAACCUACCUAUAAGACUGGGAUAACUUCGGGAAACCGGAGCUAAUACCGGAUAAUAUAUUGAACCGCAUGGUUCAAUAGUGAAAGACGGUUUUGCUGUCACUUAUAGAUGGAUCAGCGCCGCAUUAGCUAGUUGGUAAGGUAACGGCUUACCAAGGCAACGAUGCGUAGCCGACCUGAGAGGGUGAUCGGCCACACUGGAACUGAGACACGGUCCAGACUCCUGCGGGAGGCAACAGUAGGGAAUCUUCCGCAAUGGGCGAAAGCUUGACGGAGCACCGCCGCGUGAGUGAUGAAGGUCUUCGGAUCGUAAAACUCUGUUAUUAGGGAAGAACAAAUGUGUAAGUAACUAUGCACGUCUUGACGGUACCUAAUCAGAAAGCCACGGCUAACUACGUG
rnacentral:rRNA from 1 species